rnacentral:rRNA from 1 species
AGUUUGAUCCUGGCUCAGGAUGAACGCUAGCUACAGGCUUAACACAUGCAAGUCGAGGGGCAGCAUGUCGGUUGCUUGCAACCGAUGAUGGCGACCGGCGCACGGGUGAGUAACGCGUAUCCAACCUACCCUUGUCCAUCGGAUAACCCGUCGAAAGGCGGCCUAACACGAUAUGCGGUUCACCGCAGGCAUCUAACGUGAACGAAAUGUGAAGGAGAAGGAUGGGGAUGCGUCUGAUUAGCUUGUUGGCGGGGUAACGGCCCACCAAGGCGACGAUCAGUAGGGGUUCUGAGAGGAAGGUCCCCCACAUUGGAACUGAGACACGGUCCAAACUCCUACGGGAGGCAGCAGUGAGGAAUAUUGGUCAAUGGACGAGAGUCUGAACCAGCCAAGUAGCGUGCAGGAUGACGGCCCUAUGGGUUGUAAACUGCUUUUAUAGGGGGAUAAAGUGUGCCACGUGUGGCAUAUUGCAGGUACCCUAUGAAUAAGGACCGGCUAAUUCCGUGCCAGCAGCCGCGGUAAUACGGAAGGUCCGGGCGUUAUCCGGAUUUAUUGGGUUUAAAGGGAGCGUAGGCCGUUUGGUAAGCGUGUUGUGAAAUGUCGGGGCUCAACCUGGGCAUUGCAGCGCGAACUGCCAGACUUGAGUGCGCAGGAAGUAGGCGGAAUUCGUCGUGUAGCGGUGAAAUGCUUAGAUAUGACGAAGAACUCCGAUUGCGAAGGCAGCCUGCUGUAGCGCAACUGACGCUGAAGCUCGAAAGCGUGGGUAUCGAACAGGAUUAGAUACCCUGGUAGUCCACGCGGUAAACGAUGGAUGCUCGCUGUUUGCGUCUGACGUAAGCGGCCAAGCGAAAGCGUUAAGCAUCCCACCUGGGGAGUACGCCGGCAACGGUGAAACUCAAAGGAAUUGACGG